rnacentral:tRNA from 1 species
GGUUCUAUAGUGUAAAUAACAUAUUAGAUUGCAAAUCUUUAGAUACGGUUUAAAACUUCCGUUAGAACUU